rnacentral:rRNA from 1 species
UACGGGGGGAGCAAGCGUUGUUCGGAAUCACUGGGCGUAAAGGGCGCGUAGGCGGCCGAUCAAGUCGGGGGUGAAAGCCUGUGGCUCAACCACAGAAUUGCCUUCGAUACUGUUUGGCUUGAGACCGGAAGAGGUAAGUGGAACUGCGAGUGUAGAGGUGAAAUUCGUAGAUAUUCGCAAGAACACCAGUGGCGAAGGCGGCUUACUGGUCCGGUUCUGACGCUGAGGCGCGAAAGCGUGGGGAGCAAACAGG